rnacentral:tRNA from 1 species
GAAUUAAAAUAAUUUAAGCUUCUAACUUAAAAUUUAGCAUAAUUAUGUUAUUAGUUCU